rfam:[Clostridium] thermoalcaliphilum strain DSM 7309 CLOTH_contig000015, whole genome shotgun sequence.
AUUUUUGAGAGUUUGAUCCUGGCUCAGGAUGAACGCUGGCGGCGUGCCUAACACAUGCAAGUCGAGCGGAG